rnacentral:precursor_RNA from 13 species
ACAGCGUGAGUCAUGCGGUGUGCAGUGCUUCACUUCAUGGAGUGCCAUCCAUGUAUUAAAAGUUUGAAUGGCACUUCUUGAAGUGGGGUAAUGCAUGACAAGUACAGCCUCAGUGCC